UACGGAGGGUGCGAGCGUUGUCCGGAAUCACUGGGCGUAAAGGGCGCGUAGGCGGCAGGCCAAGCGUGCGGUGAAAGCCCGGGGCUCAACCCCGGGUCUGCCGUGGAUACUGCAAGGCUUGAGUACUGUAGAGGCAGGUAGAAUAUCGGGUGUAGCGGUGGAAUGCGUAGAGAUCCGAUAGAAGACCGGUGGCGAAGGCGGCCUGCUGGGCAGUAACUGACACUGAGGCGCGACAGCGUGGGGAGCAAACAGG
rnacentral:rRNA from 1 species